AUGAUUUAUUGCCUGACACCGACCAUAACAUGUAUGCAGAACACUACAGACUGGCACAAAUAAUUGUGGCACGAAGCCUGGUGCAACUUACACCCAACCACUGGGCAGAACGAGAUUGCACUUCCCUACACCUCCAUAAUGGGAUGCUCAAUUUGCGAGGGCAACUCAUCAGGGAGACCUCACAAAAAGUCAUGAUGUGGUUGGCUAAGGCAGUGGCUAUUUUUGGCCUUGAGCGUGUGCUUCAUUCAUCAGUCAGGCUCAAAUUCCUCCACUUAUGCUUCAUUGUUUUCCAUAACAAAAAUUGGGUAAAUAAAAUAAAUUUUUAAAAUAUCACUUGAAAU
rnacentral:misc_RNA from 1 species